GGCGGGCCUCCCCGCAUUGUGAAGUAGCCAAUCUGGUCAGGUGCGGAAGCAAGCAGCCACAACUAUUAAGCAAGUGCCGGGGCAAAGGCUCGCCUCUUCUUUU
rnacentral:SRP_RNA from 1 species